GCUUGUCUCAAAGAUUAAGCCAUGCAUGUCUAAGUAUAAGCACCCUUAUACAGCGAAACUGCGUACAGCUCAUUAUAUCAGCAAUUAUUUAUUUGAAGGUCACCUAUUACAUGGAUAACCGUGGUAAUUCUAGAGCUAAUACAUGCGAAAAAACGGCUUCACGGUCGUUGUAUUUAUUAGAUACAAAACCAACCCGGGCAACCGGUCCUUUGGUGAUUCAUGAUAACUUUGCGAAUCGCAUAGCUUUAAUGCUGGCGAUGGGUCAUUCAAAUUUCUGCCCUAUCAACUUUCGACGGUAGGAUAGAGGCCUACUGUGGUGAUAACGGGUAACGAAGAAUAAGGGUUCGAUUUCGGAGAGGGAGCCUGAGAAACGGCUACCACAUCCAAGGAAGGCAGCAGG
rnacentral:rRNA from 1 species